UAUAAGCCAUUGGGGCAGUAUAUUAAUAGGAAGAUUGUCAUUUAUGACUUCUUAAAUCUUUCAAUGACUUCAGCCAUUGAAGGAUUUAAGAAAUGAACAAUGACUUCAGCCAUUCUAAUAUCCUCUGUUUUAUUUACUGUUUUGAUGACUCAUGCCUGACACCAUUCGAUGUUGAUGUACUGAUAAAAAUGCUUGAUGAGUACUGUGUUAAAGGCUGGUUUUUUACACUAUUUUUGUGUUACUUUAAUUGGAUGUCCAGGCUUCUUAUCAUACUUCCUAUAUAUAAUUCUCAUCUGUCUAAAUCUUUGUUAUAAAUAGGAAUGAUGUAUACUCCAGCUCAUUGGAGUGGUGCUAUUGGUAGUUUAAUGUUUUUUAAACUAUGAAAAGUA
rnacentral:lncRNA from 1 species